rnacentral:rRNA from 1 species
UACGUAGGGUGCAAGCGUUAAUCGGAAUUACUGGGCGUAAAGCGUGCGCAGGCGGUGAUGUAAGACAGUUGUGAAAUCCCCGGGCUUAACCUGGGAACUGCAUUUGUGACUGCAUAGCUAGAGUACGGUAGAGGGGGAUGGAAUUCCGCGUGUAGCAGUGAAAUGCGUAGAUAUGCGGAGGAACACCGAUGGCGAAGGCAAUCCCCUGGACCUGUACUGACGCUCAUGCACGAAAGCGUGGGGAGCAAACAGG